UCAUGGAUCUUUCCAGACCCGGGUGCAGACUCUGGAGGGAACUGGUCCUUGUGGGGGUGCUGGAGACACAGAAGUGAGUCAACAAGGAGGAUGGAGAUGGAGAGGACAGAACGGAGAUCAGCAUGCCAGAAAUGGGGACGAGCACGUGCAAAAGCCUGAAGUCAGGAGACAGUGUGGGCACACGGGUUCGAGCCCUGGUCUGGGAAGAUCCCACAUGCCGUGGAGCAACUAGGCCCGUGAGCCACAACUACUGAGCCUGCGCGUCUGGAGCCUGUGCUCUGCAACAAGAGAGGCCGCGAUAGUGAGAGGCGCGCGCACCGCGAUGAAGAGUGGCCCCCGCUUCCCGCAACUAGAGAAAGCCCU